rnacentral:rRNA from 1 species
CAAUAGCGUAUAUUUAAGUUGUUGCAGUUAAAAAGCUCGUAGUUGGAUUUCGGAUGGGAUUUGCCGUUCCGUCGUUACGAUGUGCACUGGCCAGUCCUAUCUUGUUGUCGGGGACUAGCUCCUUGGAUUCACUUCCUGGGACUAGGAGCUGACGAGGUUACUUUGAGUAAAUUAGAGUGUUCAAAGCAAGCCUACGCUCUGAAUACAUUAGCAUGGAAUAACACGAUAGGACUCUGGCUUAUCUUGUUGGUCUGUGAGACCAGAGUAAUGAUUAAGAGGGACAGUCGGGGACAUUCGUAUUUCAUUGUCAGAGGUGAAAUUCUUGGAUUUAUGAAAGACGAACUUCUGCGAAAGCAUUUGUCAAGGAUGUUUUCAUUAA